GUAAACAUCCCCAAUAGAUUAUUUCGGUCCCGGAACACCCGCUCCCACUGCAAGGCUCUCCUUUCUUCCUGCUCCAUCAAUUGGCGGUACAUGAUAGCAUUCAUUUUUGAGGUAAGACACUGAAGUUUUGUUGACUAAAAUAAGAUUAGCCUCCUCUGUACCAGGCUAAAAACUUUAUUAGCUAGCGAAGCGCU